UACGUAGGCAGCGAGCGUUGUUCGGAGUUACUGGGCGUAAAGGGUGUGUAGGCGGUUCUCUAAGUUUGGUGUGAAAUCUCCCGGCUCAACCGGGAGGGUGCGCCGAAAAACUGGGGGGACUCGAGUGCGGGGAUGGGAGAGUAGAAUUCCUGGUGUAGCGGUGAAAUGCGUAGAUAUCAGGAGGAAUACCGUGGUGUAGACGGCUCUCUGGACCGCCACUUGACGCUGAGACACGAAAAGCGUGGGUAGCAAACAGG
rnacentral:rRNA from 1 species